rnacentral:tRNA from 1 species
AGCCAGCUGGCGUAGUGGUUUGAGUGUUGGACUAUGACUCUGGAGACCAGGGUUUGAUUCCCUGCUUGCCCA